UACGUAGGGUGCAAGCGUUUGUCCGGAAUUAUUGGGCGUAAAGAGCUCGUAGGCGGUCUGUCGCGUCUGCUGUGAAAACUCAGGGCUUAACCCUGAGCUUGCAGUGGGUACGGGCAGACUAGAGUGCGGUAGGGGAGACUGGAAUUCCUGGUGUAGCGGUGAAAUGCGCAGAUAUCAGGAGGAACACCGGUGGCGAAGGCGGGUCUCUGGGCCAUUACUGA
rnacentral:rRNA from 1 species